GGGGCUAUAGCUCAGUUGGUAGAGCGCCUGCAUGGCAUGCAGGAGGUCAGGAGUUCAAUUCUCCUUAGCUCCACCC
rnacentral:tRNA from 7 species